AAAAAACCAAAAAAACAAGAUGAAGUACAGCAAUUUGGGUACCAUGGCAGUCUAUGGACGCUUUAGGUAUCUAUAGAAAGUCUUUACAAAGCAUGAACCUAAAGCUGUAAUGUAUUAUAUUUGACAAUAUGUGGGAUGCUGUUGCCUUUUGUGUAUGUGUCUCUGGAGCAGUCAUCUAGGGAAACUCAUCGUGUCAGAUGCCCUCACUUGAGGUAAAAGCAAAACAAAAGUCUCAUCAUUUUCAAAAUUGGCAUGUUUUGAAAGGUGUAAUCAAAAAAUGUCAUCGAGUAAUCCAAUUUUACAUUUUUUACCAAAUCCCGGGUGAUUACAGUUACUUAUUUUUUGUCAUCUGACAAUGACAUAAUCUGUUCCGACCCAGCCCUGUCUGCACCGCGUCUCAUCCCCGUCUCUUUGUCCUUGUGCUGUGUAGCUGCCAAAACAAUAUGUUUCUGUUUCAAUGAAAGUGACCAAAGCAGCUGUCAAACGCAACCAACUAAGGCAAAUUCCUGUUGAGUUAUUGUUCUUGGCAAAUGAAGCGGUUGUGGCCCUGAUGGAAUGGCAAAUAUUGCAAAAACUCUUUUCUGCAGACGACCUUGAGCGAGGCGCUUUAAUGAGAGCGAUCGUGAUACUCCCUCAGAAACAAGAUAAGAUAGCAGCCGAGCGUUUGUCUUGGUGACAAAAAAAUCGGUUUCCCAUAAUGUCAGUCUGCUCAUUCAAAAAGCCCAGAGACUGUGGAGCCAAACUUCUGACCACAUCCUGAGAGCGCUAAGAUCAUUCAGUUACUCAUCGCUCCCUUCCUAAAUUUCUUCUUUUUUCUCACGUUUUUUCCGUUAGUGUUUCCACACACAGCUCUGUAUUCAUCUCUCUUCACUCUCUCCAAGCAUCCAUCUUAAAACAAUCAAAUCCUCAGGCAAUAAAAGAGCAUUCUUCUCCUCAUAUUCCUCUUUGUACAUGAACAACUGGACAUUCUAGCCGUCUGCUCCUGGAUAAAUAAAGACAUCUCCAUCUCAACAUAUCCUGUUUAUUUAAUCUGGGAAUGAUAGCAAAUCUUAUUUUCCAUCAGGGGCGGCUGUAGCUCAGUGGAGUCACAAAGUGAUUCGAAAACCUUGAACUCCUCCUCUCCCCAUGUUGUAGUGCCCUUGAGCAGAACUAAAUCUCACCCUAUGUAUGUGUCACUUUGGACAAAAGCCAAUCUGCCAUAUUGAUGUCAUGUAACGUCACACCUUCAGUUUAUGCCAAAUACAAAACACAUUUAUGUGUUUUGCGAGCUCACAGUCAUGUUUUCCUCCUCACUAAACCCUCUGCGUCGCAAACACCACUAGUCAUUUUGAGUUCGCUGUCAUUGGUGGCAGCACCGUGUUCAACGGCAGCUUGUCAGCCUAAAGACACUAAAUUAAAAUGAAUUCAGGAUACGCUGCCAGCCUCGCUUUCUAUCCGUUUCGCUCACUCAUCAUCAAUCCAGGGCCGGCCGGCUUUCCAGUCCACCGACGCCACAGUUUCUGCAUGUCUGGGUUCAGAAGCUUUGCAGCCCCAGCAACCAAACAACUUCCUCUCAGUGCGUUUCAUUCUUCUGCCAUCAUGGGAAUUCAAGCAAACCAAAUCAGGCCCACUCUUUCUCACACAGCACAACAUCAGUUAGCUUCAUUAAAAAACGAGAGCGUGAAAGUGGGAGGUGAGAAAUGAGCAGGGACAGUGAAAAAACAGCUAUCUGAGCCGAGGCACGGCGGACCAAGUCUGCAAGGAGUCAGUGCGAUGAGAUGAGAAGGACUGAGGGAACACAGGCCAGUGUGGGAACCAGCUGUCUCCCUGGGCUGGACCUCCAGGCCUGCAGAAAAAUCCACCUCACCGCCCCCCCCUACCCCAGAGGAUGUGCUGUCACUGCGGGGCCCGACCUUCCUGUAGACUGAGAGGGUGGCCAGGGGACAAAGCCGGUAUCCGAAUCUGUAUGCGGAGCCUCAGCCACAGUUAAUACCUCUUGGGCGGCUGAACACAGCGCCAAAGAAACACAAUGGUGGAAGUGGGACAGCUAUGGGGCUCCGGAUUAACAAAACAGCGUGUGAAUCUGUGUGUGAACUCCGAGCAUGUGGGACCGCAUGUGUUUACGUCUGAGCCGACGUUAUUAGCAUUCAUUACGCUUUGUAUAAUUCCACGCAUGUGUGCGAGGGACCACAUGCGCGAAUAUUUUUUUCGAUAACUGCGCAAUAAAAGCCACACCGUGAUGUUGGAGAAUACCAACGAGAGGCUUGUGUUUUUAAUUACCCACUCCCCCUUCUUCUCUCCCCUUCCUACAUUCCCCAAAUGAGAGCUCUGUGUCCGGUUACAACACCGCUUUUGUUUCUUUUUGCUCCUCUCACUCGCUCGCUCGCUCGCUCUGCCUCUAUCUGUAUAUCUCGCCCCUCUUUUUUUCUGGCUCACAGUACUGAGUGGUUGUGAAUGUGCCCAUGAAGACACACAUACUUUUCAGCAAAUAUAAAGAAACACCAGCGUCCACCGGCUCCAUCAACACUUUAUAAGGUUCACGGGCAGCAGCACUCAAAGGACUUCAUUCAAGACUUUUAAAAUAAAUAAUUGAUUUUCUGCCUAGAUCUACAUAUGGCAGAUACAUGGCAGCUCAGUUGCCAUGUAUCUGCCUACUGGUCAGUGUUUAUGGAUGUCCCUCAGUCUGUUUAAUAGUCCAGCUUGCUCAUCUUUCUGUUAUUAUUCAAAGCAGACCACCUAGAAGCUUUGCUGUUCAAGGAUAAAAAAGGGAGUCUUAAAAGAGCUUCGUGAGGUGACAUAACCCUUUUGAUGGCAACAUUUAAAGUGUGGGUGUGCACUGCUUUCAUGGGUACACUUGUAUGCAAUGUUAUCUGGGGUUUUAAUGGUAGAUAAGAUAGUUCUUUUUCAUUUUAAUGUCCAAUCUUGGCUUCGAUUCAGGGGUGGUGAAGCUUCCAGAACUGGCCCGGUUGUCGCCUUCUGGGUUGCUGGCUACAGGCCCUCCUUCUGCCCUCCAGCUCCGGCCGGAUCCAAGGCGCCAGGCUGCACACAGCUGGCCUCUACAAAGCUUUCACAACUAUCCACAUUUUACAUUUAAAAGGCAAAGGACUAAAUAAAGAAAGACCCCCAUUUAUCCCCUUUAAAGCCCCCUCUCUAUUUCACCUUUUUUAUUUAUUUCAUCAACUUUUAUCUCUUCCUUUCAAAAGGAAAUAUUUACAUUUCAAACCUGAGGACUGAGGUUUGGGGAGGAGUGGUGGCGACAGUGUUGUUUGAUCAGGUUAAAAGACACCAAUCACAGCCAAUCGUACAGCGCCACCCUUCAUGUAAGCCAGCAGAUCUGGUCCUGAAUUUAUUAGAAUAAUUAUUAGAUUUAGCUUUUUAUGAGAGAGAUAAUUAUAAGCUUGUUAUUUCCACCUUUAGAAUAAGUAAGUUGAUUCACAGAGUGUCACAAAAGUUAACAAGUGUCAUGGCUUGGCUAUGUCAGAUUUACUUUAUCCACCACCAUCCAGAACCCAUCCGGAUUGAUUUUUUAUUUUUUACCAUCCUGCAGUGAAAUUGUCCCUAAAUUAAAAUGUAGCUCCAUUAGGCCACUCUACUAUCAUCUGUAGUUGUUGGUUAAAUGUAGCUAUAAGCAUUUAAGACUUUAACCUCAAAACUGUACUUGUUGUGUUGUCACAUUACACUUAAGUUCACUGUUUAAGGCUUCAUGCUACUCUGAAUAAACUCUCAGUCCUGCUGUGUGUUGUCAUUAGCUCGGUUAGCCCUGUAAGCCUGUUAGCUCUGUAGCUAUUUGUUCACUUAGCCAACCCACCGAAGGACUCUGGCGCCCAUUGCUCACAAUUUAGCCGUAUCAGAUGAAGCUGAGGUUGCCUCCACCAUCGAUAAUGAGUUUACUGCGUAAUUUUGGAAGUAGGCCAGCCUGCCAGUUAUUCUGACAUCUACAUUGUAAAAAGAGAGGUAACUGGUAACAACAUAAGACAAAAUCAGCGCAACACAUUUUCCACCAUGCUCUGGCUGACUUCACAGUGAGCCACAUUCAGUACCUUAAUUACAAAAUACUCCCAUGGGGACCCAAUCGGAGGAAAGAUCAGGACUAAAUGAUGACUAAAUCUUGAGAGAUCCAUUUGUCAUUGAUUUUUAAACUGCUUUAAUUGUGCCAAAAAAUACCUUUGAUUAGUGAGGAAACAUAAUUAAGUAUUCACACACUCUAAAUUUAAUGAUUUUACUUGAAUUAUCUUACUCGUAUCGCUUUCAGACUGCAAUGUACCAAUGUUACUACCUCUGAACUUACAGAAUCAAGUUAACCUCCUGAACACACACAUAUUUCUCUCAGCACUGGGGUCUCAAGGAGGAGAAUGGUCCUCUUUUAGAACAUGCCUAUUUCCACAACUCAAAAAUGUAUGACAGCAUGCCACAGGAUCUCUAAUCACAUCCCUGCUUAUUUACCUUGGUCUGGUCUCUUGUUUGCUGUGCCAUCAGACUGAGGUUACUGCUUACAGACUGACAGACUUUGGUAUUUAUGACGUUAAGUACAUAAAAAGGAGUGUGCUUCUGGAGGAACAUGCCUGUGGAUUUUGCAAGACGUCAUCAUUAUAUAUUUGAUUUUGUUAAGCCUGCAGCCCGCCAACAUCGGCUGGUCUUGCACAGGUCAGAUUACUUGAGAAAUUAGAUUAAGGCAGGAAGAGAGGAUUAUAUUCAUUGUAUGGACAACACAGGAUUUACAGCACUACCGAUCAUUUAUUUUGCAUUGUUUGAUAAGAGGGUUCUUUAAAGUAUUUAAUCAAAUAUGUAAGUAAUCUUGUUAGGUGAUUUGAUUAUCUUUUAAAAACAUUUUAAGCAGCACAAAUCGAUCGAUGUUGUUGUCUUUUAUUGUUUUUUUCGACUCCUUAACACAAUUCUAUUAAUACAGAUUCACCCGAGGCAGACAAAGCACUGUUGAUGGAGUCCUGUCAACAGUCAAAAGUGCACAACAAGAUUAUUUUAAUUUUGUUAGCUGUCAGGAAAGACAAGAGCCCGAAACUCUAAACUGACAACCAAACAACACAGCACUUGGCAUGUAAAGGCUCAUUGGCUUGCCCUUUGUUGUAAUUUGUGGACCGAGGAAAUGAGACAAGCUUUGUAUCACACCCUUCAGUCAUCAUAAACAAAUUAUAUAUGCUCCGAGAGGCCUCUGCCACUGGUCACAAGCCAAAUAUACACCGAGGUUACUAAUCUCCAUUUGCUCAUCUAGAGGACUUUUGAAGUAGUGUGCUAAGUGCCUAGCAACCCCGUCCUUUCCUAUGGGCAGUAAUUGUCCCUCAUUAAUGAUUACACUAUUCAUAAACCUCAUAAUUGUACAGCAAUGUCACUUUAUUACCCCUCUCUUCUGCAACAUUAAUAGAGCACAAUUAGCGGCAAGCCUCUAUCCACAACAGCAAGUGGAAUUAGUCCAAUCAGAAACACUUAGAUCAGUUUAGGCCUAUUGAAAGAAAUGAAAACGAAUGCAGUGUGAUCUGGUGGAAAAAAAAAAAAAAA